CACGUAGGGUGCGAGCGUUGUCCGGAAUUAUUGGGCGUAAAGAGCUCGUAGGCGGUGUGUCGCGUCGGCCGUGAAAACCUGCAGCUUAACUGUGGGCUUGCGGUCGAUACGGGCAUCACUGGAGUUCGGCAGGGGAGACUGGAAUUCCUUGGUGUAGCGGUGAAAUGCGCAGAUAAUCAGGAGGAACACCGGUGGCGAAGGCGGGUCUCUGGGCCGAUGACUGACGCUGAGGAGCGAAAGCGUGGGGAGCGAACAGG
rnacentral:rRNA from 1 species